rnacentral:rRNA from 1 species
GACGUAGGGUGCAAGCGUUGUCCGGAUUUACUGGGCGUAAAGAGCGCGUAGGCGGCUCGUUAAGUGUGAAGCUAAAUCUCUUGGCUCAACCAAGAACUAUUUCGCAUACUGGCGGGCUGGAGUGAUGCAGAGGUGGAUAGAAUUCCCGGUGUAGCGGUGAAAUGCGUUGAUAUCGGGAGGAAUACCCGUGGCGAAGGCGGUCCACUGGGCAUCAACUGACGCUGAGGCGCGAAAGCGUGGGUAGCAAACAGGG